rnacentral:rRNA from 1 species
GUGGGGAAUCUUGCGCAAUGGGCGAAAGCCUGACGCAGCCAUGCCGCGUGAAUGAUGAAGGUCUUAGGAUUGUAAAAUUCUUUCACCGGGGACGAUAAUGACGGUACCCGGAGAAGAAGCCCCGGCUAACUUCGUGCCAGCAGCCGCGGUAAUACGAAGGGGGCUAGCGUUGCUCGGAAUUACUGGGCGUAAAGGGCGCGUAGGCGGACAGUUUAGUCAGAGGUGAAAGCCCAGGGCUCAACCUUGGAAUUGCCUUUGAUACUGGCUGUCUUGAGUUUGGGAGAGGUGAGUGGAACUCCGAGUGUAGAGGUGAAAUUCGUAGAUAUUCGGAAGAACACCAGUGGCGAAGGCGACUCACUGGCCCAAUACUGACGCUGAGGCGCGAAAGCGUGGGGAGCAAACAGGAUUAGAUACCCCGGUAGUCC